rnacentral:rRNA from 1 species
GUGCCAGCAGCCGCGGUAAUACGUAGGUGGCAAGCGUUAUCCGGAAUUAUUGGGCGUAAAGCGCGCGUAGGCGGUUUUUUAAGUCUGAUGUGAAAGCCCACGGCUCAACCGUGGAGGGUCAUUGGAAACUGGAAAACUUGAGUGCAGAAGAGGAAAGUGGAAUUCCAUGUGUAGCGGUGAAAUGCGCAGAGAUAUGGAGGAACACCAGUGGCGAAGGCGACUUUCUGGUCUGUAUACUGGCGCUGAUGUGCGAAAGCGUGGGGAUCAAAC